ACAGAGGAGGCAAGCGUUGUUCGGAAUCACUGGGCUUAAAGCGGGUGUAGGCGGCUUGGUAAGUGUCGUGUGAAAUCCGACGGCUCAACCGUCGAACUGCACGGCAAACUGCCUGGCUUGAGGUCGGUAGAGGUGCCUGGAACUCUAGGUGGAGCGGUGAAAUGCGUAGAUAUCUAGAGGAACGCCGGAGGCGAAAGCGGGGCACUGGGCCGAUUCUGACGCUGAGACCCGAAAGCGUGGGGAGCAAACAG
rnacentral:rRNA from 1 species